AUCUGCCACAAAUGGGAAAAGCCAAACGCUGGUCGCAUGGUGGAGAAGGUGGUGGGACAGAGAGAGGGAGGGAAAGAGGAACUAUGAAAAAGACAGAGAUAGAAAAAACGAAAAUCCAAAUAAUAAUCGGUAUGUACUAAGAUGGUGGAGGACUGGUCUGCCAUGCUGUUUUGUAGUGUGUGUGUGUGUGAGUGUGUGUGUGUGUGUGUGUGUGUGUGUGUGUGUGUGUGUGUGUGUGUGUGUGUGUGUGUGUGUGUGUGUGUGUGUGUGUGUGUGUGUGUGUGUGUGUGUGUGUGUGUGUGUGUAUAUGCGCGCGCAAACGGCAGGGUUUAGGGAGGGUGGAGCGCGCCACAAUGCAGGAUUCUAGAUGAUUCCAGGGUAAGGGAUAGUUUAGACGCAAAUAUACUCAACCAUCUUUUCCUAUUUGGACAAGCUAUCCUGUGCCUUUUUACCCAGGACAAAUCAGAACCCCUCGUGUUUUCUGUGAAUUCUCAAUCACGUUGUAAUCACAGCAGCUGUUUUUCUUCCAGAAAAGCAGUGAGGUCUCACCCAAAAUGCUUAUCAGGCUUUGACCCCUUGCCAAAAUAGCUGUAAGGGUCGUGCGAUGUUUAGCCCCUCGGAGAAGCAGAGCCAGGGCAGGAAGAGGACAGUCUUAAUGUACUGUACUGUAACUCUACUAACCCCGCUCUCUACACUGCCACGUGCUACACUACAGUAUUAUACUCAAGUAGCUCCCAUUUUUCCAUAUCUACUUUUUGUCUUCUCAAUGCUGCUUUCACGCUAGCUGCUGUGGCAUGCUAAAGAGUUAAUACUUUCUGUCUGUAAGCCAUGGCUGGCUGUAGAAUGUGAUCCAGACAGACUGUUGCAGCUUGACGAGAGAGAGAGCUACAGAACUGUACUACACUGUACCAGAUAAGGUUAAUCAUUUAACCUGCUCUCAGAACUGUUGCAUAUUUCAAAUGUCCUUAGGCAGGGCAGCCCACUCUGAGUGUUUGUACGUUCUCUUUUUUUCGUUUCCUUAUUUUUUAUGCUCUUUUCUGUAGCUGAUUGCCGGGGUGCAGAGAGUGCUAGUAUGGCGUGAGUGUGUGCACUGCGUCUGCGCACUGCCGGAGGAGUGCAUUUCUGUGUCAUUCUUCCUCCUCUACCCCCUCCCACCCUCGACUGCUUUCCGCCCUCCCACUCUCCCCCGUCUCUCUCUCUCUCUCUCUCUCUCUCUCUCUCUCUCUCUCUCUCUCUCUUUCCCUCUUGGUCUCCGUCUCCCACCCUUUCCCCUUCCUCCUCCCUCUCUCAAGUGCAUAUACAGUUCCUUGCCGUGUUGGACGUGUGAUGAAAAAGUGGCUGGCUCUCGUGCUCCGCCGCACCUCCUAUUUCAUCAUCAGUCGAGCUUUUCUCUCCUUCACUCUGCGCUUGCUGCCUCGUCUCUUCUAUCGCUCGCUCCCCUGUUCUCAGCUCCAGCCGCACGCAGGGGGGAGACUCGAGCUCUGUGGGGAGAAAAAAAGAACAAAGGUUUGCUGCUAUUUCUACAGUCAGGGCCUCCCCACAGCCCGCCCUUCCAUAGAGGAGAUUUUUUUUUUUUUUUUUUACUACUAGCUGGAUUUUAACCCUCUGCCUCCAAAUAUCUACACAACGGCUCUGCAAAAACCUGGCAACAAGUAGCUUUUUUGGGGCCUUUCCGUAGUUUUGUGCGGCAAUUUUUGCAUCAGUUUGGAUCUUGGUGUUAUUUCUUCUCUUUGGGUGUUAUUUUUUCAUCUGCACUGAUACCCAGAGUUUUAUAUUUUCCUUUGAAAGAGUUUGGCGGUGUGCAUUUUCAAGGUCUUAUUAUUUUCUGUCGUCGUUUGGUCGUGUUUGUAUCUCGCCACGUGACGAGCCUUCUUCCUCCUGGAGCUGUGUUCGUACGGGCGUCAUUCCUACUGGAGAUGUGGAUCCAGCGGGGAAAAAAGAGAGGAAGAGAGAAGCUGCUCAGAAUUUCACCCCCGGAUUCGGGAACGUUUCGGAAUCGCCUCUACUGCAGAAUAUUUGCUGCAUGACUGACUCUGGCCGAUGGCACGGGACUUUUGGCCAAUCAGAGAACCCCAUGGUCAGACAGACGGACAGCCCUAGCAAUGCUGCUACCUGACAAGCUGCUUAGAGCCUGAUGGAGAGAGGAGGAGGAGGGAGGAGGAGGGAGGGAGGAGGCGAUAGGCCAGUGUUUUUUUUCUCUCUCUCUCUCUCUCUCUCUCUCUCUCUCUCUCUCUCUCAGGGCGUGUUAAGGAGCAGGUGAGCAACAUUAACAGCAGCAGCUGCUCUGCACACAUGUGGUUCAGGAUAUUCACCACACUGCCUAUCUGUCUGUCCACCGGUGUGGACAGACAGUCCACCUGUACUCAAUAGCUCUUUCAAUGGAGGUUCUCUAGAAGGAUGUUUUUUAGUCCUGGAUUAGGCUUAUUCUGUCUGGAAAGCUGUCCAAUUGAGUAGCAGAGUUACACUUCAGACAAUCCCAGGAUCUCUGUGUCAGACUGCUUGGAGGUGAAUGAUUCUGUGAUUGUGUGUUCAUGCUUCAAUCCUAACCGUUGUUCUGUGUCUUCUUCUGGUACAGGACCACACAUGCCCCCUUGGUGACCGACUGUCUUUGCCCUGAAGUACUUUCAGUAACCAUCUCUGUCUGUCUGUCCGUCCAUUUGUACUAACAUCUGUCCUGUCAACAAAAAAAUAAAAAAAAUAAUUGAAAUUACAUAAGUGGAUCCAAACUCUGAUCUCCUUUAAAAAAAAAAUUAAAAACAAGUUGUCUUCCUGACCUGGUUGACUGGGACCAAGGUACUGGAGUACCAGUGUAGACCGUCGGGUCGAUGAUGGUCCUUUGGGGUGAGGUAGUAGGUUGUAUAGUUUUAGGGUCAUACCCUUCCUGUCAGAUAACUAUACAACUUACUGUCUUUCCUGAAGUGGCUGUAAUAUCAUCCAUCAUCUCUGCAGCCCACUUGUCACCUGGACCUCGAUGGGAAUAUGUACUAUGAACCAACUCAAGUUGAUAAAAUGUUUGUAAUGUCAUUUAUAUGGUAUCUGUGCAUCAUUUGGUUCUGUUUUGGUAUGGCUCUUUGUUCAUUUCAAUACUUUUUGUUUGUAUGAUGUAUUUACUAUUUUGCCAUGAACGUGAUCUGCCUCUCUGAUGUUCGCACGGGGUGAGGUAGUAGGUUGUGUGGUUUCAGGGUAGUGAUUUUGCCCCAUCAGGAGAUAACUAUACAACUUACUGCCUUCCCUGAAGGGCAGCAAUACUACACCAGACAACUACAGAGGGCGCUGUGGGCACCACAUGAUAAUCUAGCAUUGGAACGAGGUCAUCUAGCUUUUGAUCAGCUACAGAGGUGACUGCAGCGUUUCAGGUAAAGUCUACUGACAGUCUAGUAUUACAAUGUAGCUACCAUGUUAUUUGAUCACUUUGAAAUUGUAUUUAUUCAAAAAGGUAAUAAAAAUGAUUAUUUUAUAAAAUGUCAACUGUCUGUACUUGGUCUUUCUUUUUGCUGUGUUUGGAUUUAAGAAUCAUAUGAAACUCUUCAGCAGAUGAUAGACAGGACUCUAGCUCCCUAGUCCUAGGCAACAACGCAGAGAGAUAGAGAGGAGAUGGAGUGUGUUUGCCAGUCAGUAUCGGGCCAAUAUGGGUUUCAGACGUGCCUUACUGUCUUAGGACUGUAGUCUGUCUGCUGUAUCUCAUAGCAAGGACAGAUUGCUGUAUUACCCUGGCUGGUCCAGACCUGGUUCACACUGGCACCUUCACCUUAGUGCCUGGCC
rnacentral:lncRNA from 1 species